UACAGAGGGGGCAAGCGUUAUUCGGAAUUAUUGGGCGUAAAGGGCUCGUAGGCGGUUUGUCGCGUCGGGAGUGAAAACACCGGGCUUAACUCGGUGCUUGCUUUCGAUACGGGCAGACUAGAGGCAUGCAGGGGAGAACGGAAUUCCUGGUGUAGCGGUGAAAUGCGCAGAUAUCAGGAGGAACACCGGUGGCGAAGGCGGUUCUCUGGGCAUGUCCUGACGCUGAGGAGCGAAAGUGUGGGGAGCGAACAGG
rnacentral:rRNA from 1 species